GCCAGGCAUGGUGGCUCAUGCCUCUAGUCCCAGCUAUUCAGGAGGCUGAGGCAGGAGGAUUGUCUGAGCCCAGGAGGUCAAGGCUGCAGUGAGCUAUGAUCGCACCACUGCAGUCCAGCCUGGGUGACAAAACAAGACCCUGUCUCAA
rnacentral:SRP_RNA from 1 species